GCCAUGUAUCAUUUUUAUUGAGUUCACAUGGUGUACGCCAAGUAAAGGCAAUAAGCCAUAUGAUUAACACACAAAAAAGUCAGACCCUGGAUAUAAAACAACUUUAAACCAGUAACAUAGUCAGAUUGACAUAUACAAUGUACAUCCAUGUGAACAUUUUUAGAAAAGUACUAAGAAUUUUUUUUUUUAAAUUAAAGAAGAGAAAGAAAAGAGGGGAAGAGGAACAACAGAUUAAAGAGAGGAGAGAAGGAGGUAGAAGUGGGGAAUAUCUGGUAGUCAAGGAGAAAAUCCCAGAGAGGCAUGAGAGUUAGGGGGCUAACCAGCCAAUACAGUGUGAAAUAGUUUGAGUUGCCCAUUGUGUCUAUAUUAUAUUUCUUGAUAUUGUUUAGUGAUGUUGAGGCAAUGUUUUACAAACUUCAGUAGCAGAGGUUGAGAUAAUUUCCAAGCUUAAGUUGCAGAAUAAAAACGUGUGGAUUUCUACAUUGAAGUUAUGGAAACAUAUUCAUUAAUAGAUGUUAGCUGACCACCCUUCACACGUGCAGGAAACAUAUUCAACAGAAAAAUAGUUUUUUUUCUGACUGUAAAACUAAUCCAGUUGUGGAUUCCACUAGAGAUUGGACAUCCUUCAAAAAACAGGGAGAUGAGAACACGGCAAGAAAACGUGUUUGCAAACGUCCACAAGUAGGGCUAUUGGGGACAGAUUUUAAACUUGAAUAUUUAUUACAUGAGGUUACAAUUAGAUUACAAUAAGGUUUAUGGUUAAGGUUAGUUGAGGUUACUUAGGGUUAGGGUAAGAAUACGAUUUGGGGUUAGGCUAAAUUAAUCCCUAGCCCUAAUAUUCACCCUCAUCACUACCCUAAAUGUUCUAAAACUAUACAACACAUCCUAAUCAUACACCCUGACUUUAACCCUAACUUUACAUUCCCAGCAGGAUUGUGCCUCUUCUAUCUGUAGUGGUUAUACUACAUGACUUAUUUUUUAAAAUUGCUAUACUAUGGAAGAAUUAAAGCGACACUCAAACUCCAUAACAACUUAAAUUAAUUUAAGCUGUUAUGGGGCAGUCAUGUCCAGAUGCUUUUUUACCUUUAGUUGUUAAACUGUUUGGGGGCUCUUGCACCCAGCACUGCCUCCUAGCUUCAUAACUUCCUUCCAAAAUAAGUUUGGUAUUGUUUGUGCUUUGGUAAAAUUGGUAUUGUUAAGUGCUCCUUUAAGUUUUUGUUUUCUUGUAAAUAAAGUGGAAGAAUUAGGGGCAUAUUCAAAACUUACCCCUAAAACACAACAGUUUUGCAAUUUGGAAUAUGGAAGUUUUAAUCAAAAUGUUUUUUUUGUUUUUUGUAAGACUCAAGAUGGUAGGAGUAUUUUGAGUGCUGAAAGAGUAGACAGUAUAUACCCCCACGCCUCUUUGUCACUCACAAUUACUAAAAGACCUGUGUCCCCUUCAUUUCUUAAUAAUACAUAGAUGAAGAGUGUAUUUGUUAUUUUUUUGCACUUAAGUCUAAUCCUCUAUAUCACUUAUGAUCACUGUAUCAAUACCAGUGUUUACCAUGUAUUCUUAAAAACAGUUGACGUGCUGGGACAGUCACUCAUACUCUAUGGAAAGUUUUUGUGACUGCCCCUGCCCACAAAGCACAAAGUGCUUACUGUGCAGGUUACGAGAUAGUUGUUAGUAAUAGUGCAGUGUAUAAUUAUAUAAUGCUAUCAGGUCUCAACUGAGAAUUCUUUUUUCUAAAUAAAACAAACAGAGCCAUCAAUCAUCAUUGCUGGAUGCAUAGUGCAAUUGCUCCUGGCCAGAUUGAGCAAUUUCUCCAUUUUAACAAGAUUUUGUUUCCUAUUACAAAAUUUAUCUAUUAGAGUGUUUAGCUGCAUUAUGUAGCAAAAAGGCAAAAACACAGAAUGGAAAAAAGUGUUCAACAUGGGUAUCAGGGACCCUUUACAGAGAUCACAUGGAAUGCUAUGUGGGACUUCUCACAUGUGGGACCUCUCCAAUAUAAAAUCAUAUCCCUGCUGAUCUGCUGGAAGGCUCUGCACCAGAUUUGAUUAUCUAAAAAUGUAAACCUGCACUCUAACUAUAGACAAAAAUGUACUAUGGGGACGCUUUAAUGCACACGUAGCGCUUACAACACAUGCACAUUAAGUUCCACCCCUUCCGUAAUAUUGUGGGAGAAGCCCUAACCAGCACCAAGGAAUCCGAGUUAGGUCUGAGUGAGAAAGAUGUAAGUGGAAAAAAAAGGUUUUAACCUUUUCAUGAUCAGAGGUUGGGUGACCUGUUAAGUUAGUGCUAUAGCGUUCAGAACACAGGUUUGUAUUCCUAACUCUAUAGUGUUUAUUUAAUUCCCCCUGAUAAAUCCAGGGGAUUACUCAUGUACCUCUGGCAAUUUAAUUAUUAACCUAACUAUUCUUCAGGAGGGGUCAUGGGCUCUAAGGUCUGAUUUCAACAGUAUGUCAUUUCAUUUUAACCCAGAAG